UACGUAGGGUGCAAGCGUUGUCCGGAAUUAUUGGGCGUAAAGAGCUCGUAGGCGGUCUGUCACGUCGGCUGUGAAAACCCGGGGCUCAACCCCGGGCCUGCAGUCGAUACGGGCAGACUAGAGUGCGGUAGGGGAGACUGGAAUUCCUGGUGUAGCGGUGAAAUGCGCAGAUAUCAGGAGGAACACCGGUGGCGAAGGCGGGUCUCUGGGCCGAUACUGACGCUGAGGAGCGAAAGCAUGGGUAGCGAACAGG
rnacentral:rRNA from 1 species